UACGUAGGUGGCAAGCGUUGUCCGGAAUUACUGGGUGUAAAGGGAGCGCAGGCGGGGAAGCAAGUCGGCUGUGAAAUGCAUAGGCUUAAUCUAUGAAUUGCAGAUGAAACUGUUUUUCUUGAGUGGAGUAGGGGUAGGCGGAAUUCCGAGUGUAGCGGUGAAAUGCGUAGAUAUUCGGAGGAACACCAGUGGCGAAGGCGGCCUACUGGGCUCUAACUGACGCUGAGGCUCGAAAGUGUGGGGAGCAAACAGGAUUAGAUACCCU
rnacentral:rRNA from 1 species